CCGGCAGCUGGUGGUGGUGUUCGUUGUACUGGUAAUGAGGACGCCACAAUGGAGGCAGUUUCUGGAUACGCACAUUGUGCUGACUAUAGGACGGGAUGAAAGCCAGCCAGACGCAGGACACGUAGAGCAAAACUGCGGGGCUGGGGACAAGAAAAAGGAUCAGUGAGAGGACACGAGGGAAUGAUCAGAAACGACAGAACAUGGCUCCCAGAACAUGGCGCACCCGACUGUCAUGAUGGCGGCAGGUAAACUCUAGGGAUUGUUUUACAAUCUGCCAGAACAGAGGAAAACAUUCCUCCACUACUGUAUAUACAUAAUGGAAAUUCCUCAUGGACACAAAGUCGCGACAUGCUCACAGCUGACAAGAUGGCGGAAGAUUUAUUUAUUUUAAAACAGCACGCAACACACUAAUACAGAGAGAUGCACUGAAAUGGCAACCAUGACUACAUUAGUUGGCAUCAAAUAUAAAAUGUUGCAAUUCUGUGAAAUAAAACAAGUUUAGUUUUAAAUGUUGUGAAAUCUCAGUCCAUUGGCAGUGCCAGGAAAGACCUCACCAACUCCUUCCAACUAUUGGCAGUACCAGAACAGACCUCACUAGCCCCUUCCACCAUUGGCAGUGCCAGGACAGACCUCACCAGCACAUUCCAAGCAUUGGCAGUUCCACGACAGACCUUACCAGCCCCUUCCAAACAUUGGCAGCACCAGGACAGACCUCACCAGUCCCUACAAACCAUUGACAGUGCCAGGACUGACCUCACCAGCCCCUACCAACCAUUGGCAGUGCCAGGACAGACCUCACCAGCC